GGAGCUCUCAGCUCUGUCUUGGGAGCUCUGGGUGCAGAGGUUUCUCCACAGAGGCCCAGGCCUGGGCACAAAGGCAGGCACACCGCUAUGGGCCCCCAGGGGCCUAAAAGCAGAUGCUCUCCCAGUGACCUGAGGGCGCCCCCUCUGAUGUUCUCUAUCUACAGGGUGCUCUGCUUGCUCAGCCACCACUUGGCCACUGUCUCCAGGGGCUGUGAUCACAGUCCUCCCUGGGCAGGGUUCUUGGGGUGCUGGAUGCUGGCAAGGAGCCACUUCCUGCCCCUGCACCCUACAAGGCGGCUGUCUGAGUCUGCGGCCUGGGAUGCAGGAAUUCAUGAAAGCUGCAGUUGACAGCAGCGUCCUCCUCAGGAGACCUGGCAUGCGGAGGGAGGAGGCAAUAUCCAAGUCUCCCAGAAAAGAUCGAAGGGUCCGCAGGACCCUGGAAAAGCACCGAGCAGGCACUUUUCGCAACCGCUGAGAAGCAGUUGCAGGAUGGCGGCAAGAUGACCUGCGAGUGGUGCCACCAGCCCAGGAAGCCCUUAGUGGCCAACCAGUAGAGGGAAGUGGGCGAGGCCCAUGACCGGGCUUCUUGUGGGACCCUUCUGGCAGGUCUCUGCCACUCAGCGCCGGGGGCAGGGGUGAGGGACAACACUUGCUGUGGGAAGUCUCCAUAGCAGUCUUAGCGAAGGCGCUAGUGGGUAAUUCUAGCGGCCAUCGCAGAAGGCCUUCUUCGGCUGCUCACGCAGCUUCAGGCGACGUGGCUGUCAGACCUGUUGCCAGGGCGCGGCUGAGGAAGGAAUGAGUGGAGAACAGGCGAGCGCGUGAGGGAAACCGUCA
rnacentral:lncRNA from 1 species